AUGGUCCCGGCUCGGAACCUGCAGCUCCUCCGCGACGCGCAUGGCACGCCUUUCAUCCGCGACGUCGCCGCCGGCGUCAACGCUCUGACGGCACAGCCGACGCCGAGGCCGAGCCACCACAUGGCCCAGGAGCCCAUUAACCAGGACCCGUCAAAGCCGCCGCCGCCGCAGGAGAGGCAGGAAGUGCACCAGGAGGAGCGACGCGGGGAGGCGCUAGUAGUGUUGCCGCCCCAUCCCGCCGGCACAAGCGGCAGCAGCAGUGGCGGCAGCAGCAGCAACGGAGGCGGCGGCGCCGGGGGAGGGGACUGGUUGCGCCUCGGCCUCGGCCCGGCGUCCCCGGGCCCCAGUGGCGCAGCGCCCGACAUCGAUCUCUUUGCGGCGGACCGCGCGGGGACGGCGGGGCCGCGGCAGGAGACGCUCCCGGGCAUGGACGUGCCGCCCGGAGCCUUCCUGCGCCCCGCCAUGCCCGGCAUUCCGCAGGCGUCGUUACAAAUGUCUGUGCCGCGCGCUGGGCCACCUUGGCUGCCGCCUUGGAGCCACGCGGCGCAACAACCGCAGCUGCUUCUCCCGUUCGGACACCGCGGGCUCUACGGCCCUGGCUCGCCGGCCGCGGGCCCCUCCGGCUUCGACACGACCAGGGUUGUGCUGCCUCCACCGGCGGCCACCGCCGCCGCCGCCGCCGGAGUCUGGUUCGUCUUCCAGGCCGCGCCCCACCAAGGGAGGGAACCGUUCUUGCCUCAGAUUCCAAGAAGCUACUUAAGAAUCAAAGAUGGGAGGGUGACAGUUAGAUUGUUGAUCAAGUACCUGGCUAACAAGCUCGGAUUGGAAGACGAAUCAGAGGUGGAGAUUACAUGCCGAGGGCGACCGCUCCUCCCGUUCAUGACCCUUCAGCAUGUCCGCGACAGCAUCUGGUGCCAGAGAGACGCCGUGUCGACAUCGGUUGCACCAGACACGUCAACCGCUAACCACAUUAUGGUUUUGCAGUAUGGCAGAAGGCCGUAG
rnacentral:rRNA from 1 species